rnacentral:rRNA from 1 species
CCUACGGGAGGCAGCAGUGGGGAAUAUUUGGCAAUGGGCGCAAGCCUGACCCAGCAACGCCGCGUGAAGGAAGAAGGCUUUCGGGUUGUAAACUUCUUUUGUCAGGGAAGAGUAGAAGACGGUACCUGACGAAUAAGCCACGGCUAACUACGUGCCAGCAGCCGCGGUAAUACGUAGGUGGCAAGCGUUGUCCGGAUUUACUGGGUGUAAAGGGCGUGUAGCCGGGUUGACAAGUCAGAUGUGAAAUCCUGCGGCUUAACCGCAGAACUGCAUUUGAAACUGUGGAUCUUGAGUACUGGAGAGGGAGACGGAAUUCCUAGUGUAGCGGUGAAAUGCGUAGAUAUUAGGAGGAACACCAGUGGCGAAGGCGGUCUGCUGGACAGCAACUGACGGUGAGGCGCGAAGGCGAGGGGAGCAAACGGGAUUAGAUACCCCAGUAGUC